rnacentral:rRNA from 1 species
GAUGAACGCUGGCGGCGUGCCUAAUACAUGCAAGUCGAACGAAACUUCUUUAUCACCGAGUGCUUGCACUCACCGAUAAAGAGUUGAGUGGCGAACGGGUGAGUAACACGUGGGCAACCUGCCCAAAAGAGGGGGAUAACACUUGGAAACAGGUGCUAAUACCGCAUAACCAUAGUUACCGCAUGGUAACUAUGUAAAAGGUGGCUAUACUACCGCUUUUGGAUGGGCCCGCGGCGCAUUAGCUAGUUGGUAGGGUAAAGGCUUACCAAGGCAAUGAUGCGUAGCAGAAUUGAGAGGUUGAUCGGCCACAUUGGGACUGAGACACGGCCCAAACUCCUACGGGAGGCAGCAGUAGGGAAUCUUCCACAAUGGGCGAAAGCCUGAUGGAGCAACGCCGCGUGGGUGAAGAAGGUCUUCGGAUCGUAAAACCCUGUUGUUAGAGAAGAAAGUGCGUGAGAGUAACUGUUCACGUUUCGACGGUAUCUAACCAGAAAGCCACGGCUAACUACGUG